GCGCACCAGUCGCGAAACCUCCGCAAUGCGGGAAACCGUGACGGGGUCACCCCGAGUGCCACCCGAUGAGGGUGGCUUUUCCCCGGUCUAAAAAGCCGGGGGCAAUAAGCGGGGGGCAAGUCUGGUGUCAGCCGCCGCGGUAAUACCAGCCCCGCGAGUGGUCGGGACGUUUAUUGGGCCUAAAGCGUCCGUAGCCGGCUCGGUAAGUCCCUCCUUAAAUCCACGGGCUCAACCCGUGGGCUGGGAGGGAUACUGCCGGGCUAGGGGGCGGGAGAGGCCGAGGGUACUCCCGGGGUAGGGGCGAAAUCCGUUAAUCCCGGGAGGACCACCAGUGGCGAAGGCGCUCGGCUGGAACGCGCCCGACGGUGAGGGACGAAAGCUGGGGGAGCAAAGGGGAUUAGAUACCCGUGUAGU
rnacentral:rRNA from 1 species